AGGGUGUAAACGCUGCAGACUUGGUGUUGGGGGCCCUUUGGGGGCAUUCAGUGCCGGAGAGAAGUUGUUAAGUCUGCUACUUGGGGAGUACGUCCGCAAGGAUGAAACUUAAAGGAAUUGGCGGGGGAGCACCGCAACGGGAGGAGCGUGCGGUUUAAUUGGAUUCAACACCGUAAACUCACCAGGGAAGACUGUUACAUGAAGGCCGAGAUGAAGACUCUGCUAGAUUUUCAGAGAGGAGGUGCAUGGCGUCAGUGACU
rnacentral:rRNA from 1 species